CGGGACACUGAACAUUGAGCCUUGAUGUGUAGGAUAGGUGGGAGGCUUUGAAGCGUGGACGCCAGUCUGCGUGGAGCCAACCUUGAAAUACCACCCUUUAAUGUUUGAUGUUCUAACGUUGGCCCCUGACCGGGGUUGCGGACAGUGUCUGGUGGGUAGUUUGACUGGGGCGGUCUCCUCCCAAAGCGUAACGGAGGAGCACGAAGGUUAGCUAAUCCUGGUCGGACAUCAGGAGGUUAGUGCAAUGGCAUAAGC
rnacentral:rRNA from 1 species